GAGGACGCGCCGCGCAACGCGUACGUGGCGCUGGCGCUGGCGCGCUGCUGGCGCUGCUGCAGCCGCUGGCGGCGCUGUGGCGCUGCUGGCGGCGCGGGCCCCCGCGAGUCGCGCGCGCUCCGCCUCGCUCGUGCCGCUGCAUCCGCGCCCGCCCUCCUACGACAGUGCGGGCUACGACUACCAGAAGAUGCCGCGGACCACCUACAGGAACGGGCGCAUCGUCGUGCUGAGCCCGUCGCGCGCCUGACGCACUGCCGCCGCGUGCUGCCCGGGGCGCCUGGCGCGGCGCAUCGGCGUCGGCGCGUGCGAGCCACAACUAACAAGCUCAAGAGACAUUACCAAUACUAACUAGAACUUGUGUUCAUUUGUUUUUAUAAUUGAUAAGUAUAAGAGUACUCGCAUACUGCAGAAUAAACCGACAGCUGGCCCGAUGCGAUGGUGAGAAAAAAAAUCGUGAAUUCAAUUCAAGGUUUCAGUCUGAUACCGGCCAAAUAGCUGAUCUCUGUUAUGUGUAAGUCGUGGUAGCCUAGUGGGUAAAGAACCAACCUCUCGAGUAUGAGGGUGUGGGUUCGAUUCCAGUUCAGGCAAGUACCAAUGCAACUAUUCUAAGUUGGUAUGUACCUACUUUCUAAGUAUAUCUUGGACACCAGUGGCUGAUAAAAAGGACCUGGACUUUAUAGUCUGAAAUCACGAACCCGCAUUCAGCAAGCGUGGUGAUUAAUGUUCAAUCCUUCUCCGUGUGAGAGGAGGCCUGUGCCCAGCUGUAGGACGAUAAAAAGGCUGUAACAGUAACAGUUAUGUGCUUAUUUAUACUAAUUUAUGAGCCCGACUGAAAGCCUGCAGUGUGCGGGUUCUCUAAAUAUAAUUUGUGGUCCAUCAUUUACUUUAAGAGUUAGGGAGUAGGUACCUAGGUAUCAUUUAUGUAAUUAGAUAAUCAUUAUUUUAAAUCCUUAAUUGUAAUGAAUGAUCAAUGUAACAUAAGUAGGUAUGUCUAGUCUUACUUAUUUAGGAUCAAUAAGUACCUAUUUUAUUUAAGUUUAAGUUAAGAACAUUAUACAACGUGUAACGUUAAAUGCCGAUCAGAAUCAGUUGAACCACUGUCUGACAUAGAAUAAAAUCUUUGGCUUAUGUUUAAACACCACCCAAAAAAGUACCUAUUUUACCACCAAAAAAAUUCUAAACGGUUACCAAAAUGGAUAAAUGGUCACCAAAUAACGUUUCCAAAAAUAUUAUUAGAUAAAACCAUUUUUUCUUAUUAUUGACUACAAAAAAAAAUUAUGGACGCCUUUAAAAUACACUUUAGACCAAAUAUUAUAUAUUGUCACUACUUAGAUGUUA